rnacentral:rRNA from 1 species
CGGGGCUCAACGCCUUGUAAUUGGAAUGAUGGGAAUCUAAACCCAUUCCAGAGUAUCAAUUGGAGGGCAAGUCUGGUGCCAGCAGCCGCGGUAAUUCCAGCUCCAAUAGCGUAUAUUAAAAUUGUUGCAGUUAAAAAGCUCGUAGUUGAAUUUCUGCAGCAUCGCCACGGCCCCACGGGCCACGCGUUGCGGCUUAUUUCGGACUUGCGUGCAUCUCCGAAUGUUUACUUUGAGAAAAUUAGAGUGCUCAAAGCAGGCACUAGCCUGAAUACUUUAGCAUGGAAUAAUAAAGUAGGACUUUGGUUCUAUUUUGUUGGUUUAGCGCCAAAGUAAUGGUUAAUAGGAACAGUUGGGGGCAUUCGUAUUUAACUGUCAGAGGUGAAAUUCUUAGAUUUGUUAAAGACGAACCACUGCGAAAGCAUUUGCCAAGGAUGUUUUCAUUAAUCAAGAAC